rnacentral:lncRNA from 1 species
AUGAAUUUAUUUUUCACUGCUGCCUCUGUGAUUUACCUGCGAUGUACACCGCAGGUCAGUGCCAGGCUGCCUAACAAGACCCUCACUGCCAAGCUCCUCACCCCUCUAGGACUACUGGAAGCCUGCGUGACAAGGGUCAGCUUCAUCACAGGUCACACCACCUGCUCCCACCAGCUUUCACUGGUAUUUUGGUCACCAGAAAGCAUAGUGAAUAAAAUUUUACUUUGCAUCUGGCAUUCAGGGAAAAUAUUGUUUAAAAAAUGUAAACAGUAACAUUUCUGGGGGAAACGUUGAAAUUUUAUUGAUGAGACACCGCAAGCAAAAGUCAUUCACAUCAAAACAGAGCAAUGACCAAUUUUGGAAGCAUAAACACUAAAGUGCUUUUACUUUGCAUUUCAGAAAUUUACCCAGACUUGAACCCGUAUGUUUUAAUAGCAGUACAGAAAAACAAUUAGU